GACACAUGACUGGGCAGUUAAUUUAAAUGGGUACACGUUAUUUAGGAAGGAUAGGAAAAACAAGAAGGGUGGUGGGGUAUGUUUAUAUGUCAACCAUGAGUUUUAGUCAAAUCUUAGGCAUGUGGAGUGUGACGAGGAAAAGGUGGAGGCUUUAUGGGUAGAUAUCUGCUUGGGGCAAACAAAGGGAAAUCAGUUAUUGGUUGGGAUAUGUUAUAAACCACCUAAUGUAAAUAUUAAUGAGGAAGAACAGCUGUUAGAGCAAAUUGGGAAAGCUGCAAAUCGGGGUAACACGUUAAUUAUUGGAGAUUUUAAUUACCCG